AGUUUGAUCCUGGCUCAGGAUGAACGCUAGCUACAGGCUUAACACAUGCAAGGUCGAGGGUAACAUGAAGAAGCUUGCUUUCUUGAUGACGACCGGCGCACGGGUGAGUAUCGCGUAUCCAACCUGCCCAGUAAGUAGGAAUAGCCUUGCGAAAGUAAGAUUAAUGCCCUAUGGUUUCCAUUAAAGACAUCUGAGAUGGAAUAAAGAUUUAUCGCUUAUGGAUGGGGAUGCGUCUGAUUAGGUAGUAGGCGGGGUAACGGCCCACCUAGCCGACGAUCAGUAGGGGUUCUGAGAGGAAGGUCCCCCACAUUGGAACUGAGACACGGUCCAAACUCCUACGGGAGGCAGCAGUGAGGAAUAUUGGUCAAUGGACGGAAGUCUGAACCAGCCAAGUAAGCGUGCAGGAUGACGGCCCUAUGGGUUGUAAACUGUCUUUUUUAGGGGAAUAAAGUUAGCCACGUGUGGUUAUUUGCAUGUACCCUACGAAUAAGGACCGGCUAAUUCCGUGCCAGCCGCCGC
rnacentral:rRNA from 1 species